rnacentral:lncRNA from 10 species
CAAAUGAUUACAUUUUAUGUAGUUAUCUAAGUAUCUGUAUAAUAGUCUCAAUUUUACUUCUUGUCCUGCGGAGCCUAAAAUAUUUACUAUCUUGCCCUCUACUGAAGUAAAAUUUGCUGACCUCAGUUUAAGGGCUAGAAUUUUGAGAAAUAAGAAAAACGGUCAGAAUUGAAGGAACAAAAUAAUGAGGGAGAAAAUCUGCUUCAAGGUAGUAUAUAUGUGUUUAGGACCUUUCCUUGUAACAUGUGAAAUAUUAUAAUCUUAGUAUUAUCUCUUACAGAAUUGCAGUAGGCCAUGUGGAGAAUCCCACAGUUGUUUUUUAACUGUGUGGCCAGGAUCCAGUGAGGUCUUAUAAUAUGGUACUGUUGUUCAUACUUGAUUGUUUCUAUAGAAACAGGUCUUCAUAAGGAAGACUUCAAAGAAGCAAGGACCUCAGUCAAGUUAUGGAGGAAGAAGACUUCACCAAAGGUCACAGGUUCUGAAGAACUGGCACCAGACUAUUUUCUCUGUCUUCCCGCAGUUGAAACUACUGAGUCUGUGGUUACUCCAGGUGUUACAUUUGGGGAAUACUAUCUAGUUUGGGAUAACAAUUUAGGUCCAAAGAAUAAUGGUUUGUUUUCUAAAUUUCAUGCACAUGGGUCACUGCUGUGACAGUCUUUCCUUUCCUAUUAACUUUUUUUCUGUAACAGUGAGUUUCUUAACGGAUGUGACAUGGAAUUGAUGUAACUUCAGAGACCUUUUCCAAUCAGGGACAGUACCGGUUGCAGCUCCUCAAAGAACUCCACCAACACAUUAAGAUAUAUUAGAGACAGCAGAAUUGAAAUUUGAGGAAGAAGAAAUUGGAACAUAGUUCCUUUGAACUUUAUCUCACAAGGUCAAGAAAAUUUGAUUUCUAACUUUAACCCCUUUGGUUUUUUAAUGUCUGUGGACUUUAGCUUGCAAAUGAAUUUAUUUUUGAAGUUUAAAUUCUUCCUGUGAAUUUUAAAGUGAAAAUAGUUUACUUGCAAAUUUGAAGCAUCUCUGUAAUGCUAAAAUUUUAUUUUUAGAGUGAUUUAAUGUCAUUUGAUUUCAUUGCGUAACCUUGAAUAGAUUAUGUUGGAUAAUACUGCUGUACAUAAUUUGAGGUGAGAUUUCCAUCUCUCACCUCAGACUGCAGAGUAAACUUUUGGUCUUAGGUGCAGAGUGGCUUAAAAGUUGAUUAAAUUAGUUUUUUAUAUCCAUUUCAGAGGCUUCUGGGAAAAAUCUGUGCAGCCCACUACAGUCCUAGAAAAGUACCCAAAAGGAUAGUGGUUGGUAUUAGGUACAGCAGACCUGUUUGGAUUUAUUGCUAUUCUCAUCCCCCAGGGAUAAGUCACAGGCUUUGUAUACUAUACACUUAAUGGUUGAGUUCAGAAGAUUUAGAAAGAGAAACUGGGAGAUGGGAGUGGGUUGGGGGAAAUGCUUCUUUCUGACUUCCUUCCAAAGAAAGUCAAUUCUAUUAGAUCAUGGACACCAUCCAUGCCCUUACUAGCUCAUGGACUCCAUCCAUCAACUUACUCAUUGCAUGUAGAGACCUGAAGUAACAUAUGUGGUUGUGGAUUUUGGGAGGAGAAGUAGGGCAAGUGUAGCCCAGACUCUUCCUCCUUUCUUUGGGUGUGAGACUGCCUUCUGACUGCAACCACUGGUACUACUUCAUUUAUGCCCAACGUUUUCCAGGUCCUUCAGUGAAGAGAUUUUUCUGGGCUUGAGAAUCAAAGUUCAUCUAAUUCUGGGAUAUAAGUCAUAUUCUCCAACAUCAGUCUUAUAAAAAAUAAAGGUGACAUGCAUGUUGGGUUCUUUAAUAAAUGAUUAUUUUACUUUGUACCUUAAUUUGUUCAGCACUUUGUUGGGAAAUGGAUCAUGUUUCUUCCAAAAAGGGUAGUUUCUUUGGCAUAAUUUAUUAUCUUUGGAUAAUAAAUGGAUCCUUUCAAAGAUCCCAAAACUCACUAUGCCAGAACUGCUUAUAAUAUACACUUCCUGCCUCUACUUUGUCUUACCCUGGUUUAUUUCCUUAAAUGCGAAUGCAUCAUAUGGUGAACUUGAUCAAUAUGCAAUAUUUGACUGUUUCUACAUGGACAAAUUUACCACAUAUUUUAAUUGUACUGUACCUUGUAAACAAUAUUCUGAUUGUUGGUUGUCACAAAAAAUGUAAGGGCCCUAAAUCCUCUGCUGUGUUCUCUGCAUCUUGUUCUUAACCUUACCUCCUAAUGCUGCCCUCACUCUUGAAAUUUCUCACUCUUUGAAAUGCCUAAGGCAAGAAAAAAAAUUCUCUAGAUUCUCUUAGUCAUAAAAUGCUACAGGCACAUUAAAGAUGCUCAGCAUCAUUGCUAAUCAAAUAAAUAAAAAUGGAAAUAAAUAUUACAGUAUGGCUAUUAGGCAAGCAAAAUUUAAAAACCUGGUUAGUGCCAAAUAUUAGUAGGGAUAUGCAGACAUAGAAAUUCUCUUGUACUGCAGGAGAUAGUGUAGGAGUGUAGGGCCACACUCCAGAGAGCAAUCUAGUAAUAGGUAAUGAGAGUAAAUACUGUAUACACACACACUUUGAUUCAAAAAUAUUCUUUUUGCAUAUAAACCCAAGAAAAUUCCCAUACAGUUCCAUAAGGAAACAUGUAUAAAAACAUUUAUUACUUUUGGUGGUAGAAAGUUAAAGG